AGUGAACGCUGGCGGUAGGCCUAACACAUGCAAGUCGAACGGCAGCACAGUAAGAGCUUGCUCUUACGGGUGGCGAGUGGCGGACGGGUGAGGAAUACAUCGGAAUCUACUUUUUCGUGGGGGAUAACGUAGGGAAACUUACGCUAAUACCGCAUACGACCUACGGGUGAAAGCAGGGGAUCUUCGGACCUUGCGCGAUUGAAUGAGCCGAUGUCGGAUUAGCUAGUUGGCGGGGUAAAGGCCUACCAAGGCGACGAUCCGUAGCUGGUCUGAGAGGAUGAUCAGCCACACUGGAACUGAGACACGGUCCAGACUCCUACGGGAGGCAGCAGUGGGGAAUAUUGGUCAAUGGGCGCAAGCCUGAUCCAGCCAUACCGCGUGGGUGAAGAAGGCCUUCGGGUUGUAAAGCCCUUUUGUUGGGAAAGAAAAGCAGCAGGUUAAUACCCCGCUGUUCUGACGGUACCCAAAGAAUAAGCACCGGCUAACUUCGUG
rnacentral:rRNA from 1 species